GCGGAUGUGGUGGAAUUGGCAGACACGCCGGAUUUAGGUUCCGGUGCCGCAAGGCUUGCAGGUUCAAGUCCUGUCAUCCGCA
rnacentral:tRNA from 1 species